rnacentral:rRNA from 1 species
AACGAACGCUGGCGGCAUGCCUAACACAUGCAAGUCGAACGAGACCUUCGGGUCUAGUGGCGCACGGGUGCGUAACGCGUGGGAACCUGCCCUUAGGUUCGGAAUAACUCCCCGAAAGGGGUGCUAAUACCGGAUAAUGUCUUCGGACCAAAGAUUUAUCGCCUUUGGAUGGGCCCGCGUUGGUUUAGCUAGUUGGUAGGGUAAAAGCCUACCAAGGCGACGAUCCAUAGCUGGUCUGAGAGGAUGAUCAGCCACACUGGGACUGAGACACGGCCCAGACUCCUACGGGAGGCAGCAGUGGGGAAUAUUGGACAAUGGGCGAAAGCCUGAUCCAGCAAUGCCGCGUGAGUGAUGAAGGCCUUAGGGUUGUAAAGCUCUUUUACCCGGGAUGAUAAUGACAGUACCGGGAGAAUAAGCUCCGGCUAACUCCGU